rnacentral:tRNA from 1 species
GCCGGCGUCGCAUAAUUUUGGAAAUCGCUCUUAAUCAUUAAGAGUGAUUUUCAAAACCAGGUAUUGCGUCCAACUCAAAAUUGGAUGACUUGCCAAAGUCUUGCGGGUUCGAAUCCCGUCGCCGGCG